AUUGAACGCUGGCGGCAGGCCUAACACAUGCAAGUCGAACGAGUGGCGGACGGGUGAGUAAUGUCUGGGAAACUGCCUGAUAGAGGGGGAUAACUACUGGAAACGGUAGCUAAUACCGCAUACUAUCGGAUGUGCCCAUAUGGGAUUAGCUAGUAGGUGGGGUAAAGGCUCACCUAGGCGACGAUCCCUAGCUGGUCUGAGAGGAUGACCGGCAACGCGGGAACUGGGACACGGUCCGUACUCCUACGGUAGGCAGAAGUGGGGAAUAUUGCCCAAUGGGCGCAACCUGGAUGCAGCCAGGCCGCGGGUAUAAGGAAGCCCUUCGGUUUGUAAAGUACUUUCAGCGGGGAGACGUUCCCCGCAGAAGAAGCACCGGCUAACUCCGUGCCAGCCGCCGCGGUAAUAC
rnacentral:rRNA from 1 species